UUUCUUGCUUUGUCUGUCAAAGCUUAAAUUUUUUUGUGUUCUUGAGCCUUCUCCGACGUGCUUCCCCGCCAUUUUCGAUUUUUAUCUCCAAACUCCAUGAAUACAAGUUUGUUUUCUUGCUUCGUUUUCCCCGUCUUCUUCUAUGUUUUCUUUUUUUACCUCUAUUUGCAUUUGUAUGCAUUUUUUAUUUUGGUUUUUUGUUUUUUCACUACAUGUUCAUUGUUUCUUCUAAAGUUGCGGUUUUUAUCUCAGAAAGCUUCGAUUUUUAUCCCCAAACUCCAUGAAUACAGGUUCGUUUUCUUGCUUUGUCUGUCAAAGCUUAAAAUUUUUUUGUGUUCCUGAACCUUCUCCGAUGUGCUUCCCCCGCCAUUUUCGAUUUUUAUCUCCAAACUCCAAGAAUACAGGUUCAUUUUCUUGCUUCGUUUUCCCUCCCCGUCUUCUUCUAUGUUUUCUUUUUUUACCUCUAUUUGCAUUUGUAUGCGUUUUUUUAUUUCGGUAUUUUGUUUUUCAUUGCAUGUUCAUUGUUUCUUCUAAAGCUGCGAUUUUUAUCUCAGAAAGCUUCGAUUUUUAUCUCCAAACUCCAUGUACACAGUUGAAUUUCUCGGAAACGGACGCCAUUCAUAGGUAUCAGAUGAACAUAGUUGGAUUGUCGUUGUUCUACCUUAAUGGCACAAUAUGGAAAAACAUGAAUCUUUGUGUUGCAUUCGCUACCUAUUUUUAUCUUUUUUGUGUUCCAUGUUUGUGUUCCUUUCUUUACCGUGUUCAUCUAUGUAUUACUUGCAAAAAAUGACGUUUAUUACUAUGAUUAACUUUGAGGUUCACAAGUGAUCUUGAAUCUUCUUUAAUUUUGUUCUUAUCAUGGUAACUUAUCAAC